UGGGGAGUACGCCGGCAACGGUGAAACUCAAAGGAAUUGACGGGGGCCCGCACAAGCGGAGGAACAUGUGGUUUAAUUCGAUGAUACGCGAGGAACCUUACCCGGGCUUAAAUUGCACCUGAAUAACGUGGAAACAUGUUAGCCGCAAGGCAGGUGUGAAGGUGCUGCAUGGUUGUCGUCAGCUCGUGCCGUGAGGUGUCGGCUUAAGUGCCAUAACGAGCGCAACCCUUAUCUUUAGUUACUAACAGGUCAUGCUGAGGACUCUAGAGAGACUGCCGUCGUAAGAUGUGAGGAAGGUGGGGAUGACGUCAAAUCAGCACGGCCCUUACGUCCGGGGCUACACACGUGUUACAAUGGGGGGUACAGAAGGCAGCUACCUGGCGACAGGACGCUAAUCCCAAAAACCUCUCUCAGUUCGGAUCGAAGUCUGCAACCCGACUUCGUGAAGCUGGAUUCGCUAGUAAUCGCGCAUCAGCCAUGGCGCGGUGAAUACGUUCCCGGGCCUUGUACACACCGCCCGUCAAGCCAUGAAAGCCGGGGGUACCUGAAGUACGUAACCGCAAGGAGCGUCCUAGGGUAAAACUGGUAAUUGGGGCUAAGUCGUAACAAGGUAGCCGU
rnacentral:rRNA from 1 species